rnacentral:rRNA from 1 species
GAUGAACGCUGGCGGCGUGCCUAAUACAUGCAAGUCGAGCGAACGGACGAGAAGCUUGCUUCUAUGCUGUUAGCGGCGGACGGGUGAGUAACAGGUGGAUAACCUACCUAUAAGACUGGGAUAACUUCGGGAAACCGGAGCUAAUACAGGAUAAUAUUUUGAACCGCAUGGUUCAAAAGUGAAAGACGGUCUUGCUGUCACUUAUAGAUGGAUCCGCGCUGCAUUAGCUAGUUGGUAAGGUAACGGCUUACCAAGGCAACGAUGCAUAGCCGACCUGAGAGGGUGAUCGGCCACACUGGAACUGAGACACGGUCCAGACUCCUACGGGAGGCAGCAGUAGGGAAUCUUCCGCAAUGGGCGAAAGCCUGACGGAGCAACGCCGCGUGAGUGAUGAAGGUCUUCGGAUCGUAAAACUCUGUUAUUAGGGAAGAACAUAUGUGUAAGUAACUGUGCACAUCUUGACGUUACCUAAUCAGAAAGCCACGGCUAACUACGUG